CCACUGAGAAGAGUAGUGGCGGACGGGUGAGGUAACAACGUGGGUAACCGUGCCCGAUAAGAGGGGGAGUAACAUCCGGAAACGGGUGCUAAUACCGCAUAGUUUUCUUGAUACGCAUGAUCGGGAAAGGAAAGACGGCCUUUGUGCUGUCGCUUAUGGAUGGACCCGCGGCGUAUUAGUUAGUUGGUGAGGUAAUGGCUCACCAAGACGAUGAUACGUAGCCGACCUGAGAGGGUGAUCGACCACAUUGGGACUGAGACACGGCCCAAACUCCUACGGGAGGCAGCAGUAGGGAAUCUUCCGCAAUGGACGAAAGUCUGACGGAGCAACGCCGCGUGAGUGAAGAAAGGUUUUCGGAUCGUAAAACUCUGUUGUCAGAGAAGAACAAGUUGGAGAGUAACUGCUCCAGCCUUGACGGUAUCUGACCAGAAAGCCACGGCUAACUACGUGCCAGCCGCCGC
rnacentral:rRNA from 1 species